rnacentral:piRNA from 2 species
UUCCAAAGCACGAUACUGAUGGCCUAAUU